rnacentral:lncRNA from 1 species
CAUUGCUGUGUGCUUUUUCUCCAGCUUCUCGUACUUCCUGCUGACCUGAUCUGCUGGCAAGCCUGCAUCCCCUCGGAGUGCCAGGAGGCUCACCACCACUCCACCACUUCUAGGACAUCUGGGAUGCAGUGUGAUGGCAGCAUUGGCUGGCACCAUCACCAACUGCAGAGAGACACCAUGACUCUUUUUAUGGAAGAUCUUGGGUUUGAAAUGUGAUCGCUGAAAUGAGACCAAAAUAGCCGUCAGAUCCUCUUCUCUGAAGAGAGUAUCACUGAGGAACAGCUUGAGAUAAGCACUGUGAACCAAAAGAGAGAUCCCGAUGGCUGUCAGAUCAGAGUAGCAGUUGGCCAAGAAGACAAAUUGCCUUCCUGGUACAGGCACUUGCCAUAGCUGUUGUGGUGUGCCUUGGAACAUGAUGUCCUCCACAGGUGGCAGCCUGCAGCAAGAAAUUGGUUGGACCUGCAGAGAUACAGCCCAAUGACAAGGGCUGGCACUUUGGAUUGCAACAUUACCGAAACGAAAAGCGUGAACACUACAGGAAUUUCUGCUCUAUGGAAAAAUGUUAUUUUUGGAUUCUUCAGGAAGGCGUGCAUAUAAAACCACCGGUUCCCUGGUGAGUGAGCAGUCCUUGAGACCAGCAGAACUUUUGUCUCAAUUUUUGGUUGUGGUAGGUGAUGUCAUAGUUGGACGUACACUGACAUUAAGCUGCAACUGGCACCUUUGUGACACAAGCCUUCAUGUUUUUCGUUGAACGCUUAUGACAACUGAUUUCUUGCAGCAAGACUGGUGGAGUUAGUCUUUUU